GACGAACGCUGGCGGCGUGCUUAACACAUGCAAGUCGAACGGAAAGGCCCUGCUUGCAGCGUGCUCGAGUGGCGAACGGGUGAGUAACACGUGGGUGAUCUGCCCCUUACUUUGGGAUAAGCCUGGGAAACUGGGUCUAAUACUGGAUAGGACCAUGCUGUAGGUGGUGUGGUGGUAAGAUUAGUUUCGGUAAGGGAUGAGCUCGCGGCCUAUCAGCUUGUUGGUGGGGUAAUGGCCUACCAAGGCGUCGACGGGUAGCCUGCCUGAGAGGGUGGACGGCCACAUUGGGACUGAGAUACGGCCCAGACUCCUACGGGAGGCAGCAGUGGGGAAUAUUGCACAAUGGGCGAAAGCCUGAUGCAGCGACGGCGCGUGGGGGAUGACGGCCUUCGGGUUGUAAACUACUUUCAGCCAUGAAGAAGCCCUUGUGGUGACGGUAGUGGCAGAAGAAGCACCGGCUAACUACGUG
rnacentral:rRNA from 1 species